rnacentral:lncRNA from 1 species
UGGCAGCCUAAUUUGGUACAUCUCUAAUCGAGGGGCAAUCCACCAACUGACUUCUACUUUUCAAUGAGUCCAACUACACCUAUUGAAAAGCUCGGAUGAGAAUAUUUAUCCAAGUACUUGACUAUGAUAUGUGGAGUAUCAUAGUGAAUAGAUCUCAUAUACCCACUAAGUUGAUUGAUGGUGUGUCCCUCCCUAAGUUGGAAGGUGAAUG